AGUGAACGCUGGCGGUAGGCCUAACACAUGCAAGUCGAACGGCCGCACAGUAAGAGCUUGCUCUUACGGGUGGCGAGUGGCGGACGGGUGAGGAAUACAUCGGAAUCUACUUUUUCUUGGGGGAUAACGUAGGGAAACUUACGCUAAUACCGCAUACGACCUACGGGUGAAAGCAGGGGAUCUUCGGACCUUGCGCGAUUGUAUGAGCCGAUGUCGGAUUAGCUAGUUGGGGGGGUAAAGGCCCACCAAGGCGACGAUCCGUAGCUGGUCUGAGAGGAUGAUCCGCCACACUGGAACUGAGACACGGUCCAGACUCCUACGGGAGGCAGCAGUGGGGAAUAUUGGACAAUGGGCGCAAGCCUGAUCCAGCCAUGCCGCGUGGGUGAAGAAGGCCUUCGGAUUGUAAAGCCCUUUUGUUGGGGAAGAAAAGCAGUAAGUUAAUACCCCGCUGUUUUGACGGUACCCAAAGAAUAAGCACCGGCUAACUUCGUG
rnacentral:rRNA from 1 species